CUUUCACAUGCCUUGACCAAGAUACAUGCCCAAGUGUUUUCUUCUAUUCCAGAUCCUGAGUCGAAUACAGGUACACACAAGCUGCUUCCGGGUGAUUGGGUUAUGGUUAAGAAGUUCCUCAGAAAACACACCCUAGAACCGAGAUUUGAUGGUCCUUAUCAAGUGCUCCUGAUUACAGCAACGUCAGUUAAACUAGCUGGGAAAAGUUCCUGGAUACACGCUUCACAUUGCAAAAAAGUGCCUGCUCCAGAAGAAGCUGAUCCUGUUGAAACAUGAAUUUAUUAUGUGUCUUGUGUUUUCUUAUGUUGUUGCACUUUGCCUGGGCCCAACAAGUGGCCAUAACCAAAGAUAAUCAUGUUUACACUUUCUGGUACAAUUCUUCUAAUACUGAUGUAGCCACAUACACCUUUGAUUACUGUGACAUAGUUACCUGUACAUUCCCACAGACACAACAUGCAGCCAUAUUCAAAGACAUACCUAACAAAAAGGACCCAUACAUUUGUGUGACUGGAGGAGCUUGGGGACACCAUUGUAGUUCAUGGAAAGCUGCCGGGUGGAAUACAGGUAGACCAUGGGGCUACAGACCUCAGGUUGCACUGGACAGACUUGACAAAGACGGGAAGCCCCUACUUUCUAGAAUGACUCUGAGUAAACCCACAGGGUCAACUCCCAUUAAACUUACCCUGAAUAUAGAACACCCUAGUCCAAGGGACGCGGGGGAAUAUGUGAUGGGGAUGUACUGGAAGGGAGGUGGCUCACAUAAUGCA